AGUGAAGUUAGUACCAUAAUUCCCACCGAAAUAUGAAGAAGGCAUUUCUGGAUGAACUGAAAGCUGAAAACAUCAAAGCAUUUUUAUAGGGCAUGUGAAAGAACAUUGGCUUGUUCCACCUAUCACCUUAUCUUUGAAGACCAUGUAUUUGAAAAGUUAGAAGCAGUUAUUGAUGAGGAGAAUGACAUGCUUGAUCUGGCCUAUGGACUAACAUACACCCGGGGACGCAGGCACUCCCGGCAUUUGGCAGCGGAACAGGGACCUGAAAGGAAGGCUUCCCCCGGCAGAGUGGCCCUGGACAAGGUGGGCUGUUUAGCCAACAGCCCUAGAAAAGGAGCUCCGGUCGUCAAGAAAAGACGCUAACAAGAACAUGCAGGAGAACCAGUCUGGGUUCCCGAGAGGAACAUCCGUACCUGUCAGCAUACUGACUAGAGGGAUAGAGACCCUGAGCAUCAAAGGAAAAACUGGUCGGAGAGACAAGCAGAGGAGGAAGGCGAGACUGAGAAGAUGAAGAGCCAGUAAUAAGAUGUUGACUGUCCUUUUUUGCAAUGAUGACUGUCGCAGGUGGCUCCAUGAUGGAGUCAUGAUUACAUUGGACUUAUAUGCCUUACCCCACCUUGGGUUAUACCUGUAACUUGACCACUAUACUUUUGUUUGUGUAACUCCCCAUUUGCUUUCUAAUACUACCACUGUAACUUCUGAUCAAAUAUUGAGUAAGUUUCAGGGUGCUUGGCAUUCCAAAAAUAUAACAUGGAUGGUAUUGAUCCUCAA